GCUUCUUCACAACAAUCACCUAGUUGGCAGCAUUCCAGACACUACUGGAUUGAUAAAGACAUUGACGGUGGUACGGUAUGAUCACAAUCAAAUGACUGGAGAAGUGCCUUCAAGUAUCAGAAAUCUCACAAAACUCACUGUUCUGAAUUUAGGCAACAAUAAACUAAAUGGCUCUAUGCCUGAUCUUACUGGAUUAGAUGCA